rnacentral:misc_RNA from 1 species
GCAAACUUGGUCAUUUAGAGGAAGUAAAAGUCGUAACAAGGUUUCCGUAGGUGAACCUGCGGAAGGAUCAUUAAAGAAAUUUUGACAGAGGUUGUAGCUGGCCCCCUUCACGGGAGCAAUGUGCACGCCUCUCUCACAAAUCCACACACACCUGUGCACCUUUGCGUGAGACCUUCGGGGACGAGGGAUGGGGUCGACCCAAUCUCUAGUACCGGCGGUCUUGCGUCCUUUUCACAAACUCUCUUGUAUGUCUUCAGAAUGUCUUUACUCGAUGUCUUAAAAACACAUCUAAUACAACUUUCAACAACGGAUCUCUUGGCUCUCGCAUCGAUGAAGAACGCAGC